UACAGAGGUCCCGAGCGUUGUUCGGAUUCACUGGGCGUAAAGGGUGCGUAGGUGGUGGGGUAAGUCUCGUGUGAAAGCUCGCAGCUUAACUGCGAAAAGUCACGGGAUACUAUUCUGCUGGAGGCUUGGAGGGGGGACUGGAAUACUUGGUGUAGCAGUGAAAUGCGUAGAUAUCAUGAAGAACACCGGUAGCGAAGGCGGUUAUCUGGCUCGAAACUGACGCUCAGGGACGAAAGCGUGGGUAGCAAACAGG
rnacentral:rRNA from 1 species